UUAAUCAACAGGCCAGUGCCCCGGGGUCUUGUAGUGACGGGGACCCUGAAACUCAGAUCGCAAGCCCCAAUACUUCAGACUGUGCUGACCCCUGCGAAUUCCCCAAAUGUGAGAAUCUUGACUGCUUAUUUCUGGUAGUGGGGGACUGCGUUCACGCUCUCCCCUG
ensembl:snRNA U1 U1 spliceosomal RNA